UACGUAGGGUGCGAGCGUUAAUCGGAAUUACUGGGCGUAAAGCGUGCGCAGGCGGUUUUGUAAGUCAGAUGUGAAAUCCCCGGGCUUAACCUGGGAAUGGCAUUUGGGACUGCAAGGCUUGAGUGCGGCAGAGGGGACUGGAAUUCCUGGUGUAGCAGUGAAAUGCGUAGAGAUCGGGAGGAACACCAGUGGCGAAGGCGGCUACCUGGACCAGCACUGACACUGAAGCACGAAAGCGUGGGGAGCAAACAGG
rnacentral:rRNA from 1 species